CUACAAAAUGAGGAAAUUCAUGGAGACAAGACAGCUUUCUGUUUUGUUUUGUUGUUUUUAUGUUAGAAUAGUGAUAAUAGAAACAUAUUUCACUUCUCAUUUCACACCCACACUAGAUGAUAGCCUGGUCACAAUACUGGGCUUCUGUCUGGAAUAUAGAGACGCUGUUUACACCAUUUCUACAAUAUUCUGGACCAGACUUUAAUAAGGGCUUACAGGGGCAACAGCCCAGGGCGCCAAUUUUUGGGGAGGCCCCACAGAUUUUUAUUCCUUUUAUUUAUUUUAAUGAAUGCCUGUUUUGCAAAUAUUGUACUUUAGAUAGGCGUCAAAGGCCCAUAUCCGGUGAGUUGUAUUAAUAUUUUGGGAUUUUUGUGAAUAUAAACAACUAAAGUAUUUGAUUUUUUUCUCUCUUUUUUUUGCAAAGGGAUGUACCAAAAAUAUCUAGCAUCUUCAGUUGGUGUCAUCAGUUCAUACCUGGUUUAUGUAAAUGAUGGGAGUGCCACAGAAAUAUAACCCAGUUGAAGCCUGAAGAAGAACAUUUUCUAUUAUCGCCACCUGCUGGUUCCACCCUCACAAGAGUUUCCACGAGACUUUAAUGCACCCAAUUGGUCCAAAAGAAUCCUGUCUUCUGUGAAGCAGCAGCAGGCCCAGUGGUUAAGCGUGUGAACCUCAGUCUUUCACUCGUCCAAACCAAACCACACCCAGCCCGUCUGUGUGAACACGUUUGUCUUUUUCAAAACCUGUGCUGUCAAAGUCCUGUAGCCUGUCCCCAGUUUUAGAAACUUUUAAUUAAACCUAGGUUGUUUGUUUCUGUCCA